rnacentral:rRNA from 1 species
CCCAUAAUAUGGUACCAUCGCAUGAUGGAACUAUAAAAGCUGCGGCGGUAAAGGAUGGGCAUGCGUGACAUUAGCUAGUUGGUAGGGUAACGGCCUACCAAGGCUACGAUGUCUAGGGGUUCUGAGAGGAAGGUCCCCCACACUGGUACUGAGACACGGACCAGACUCCUACGGGAGGCAGCAGUGAGGAAUAUUGGUCAAUGGGCGCGAGCCUGAACCAGCCAUCCCGCGUGCAGGAAGACGGCCCUAUGGGUUGUAAACUGCUUUUGUGCAGGAAGAACGUUCUCUACGUGUAGAGAAGUGACGGUACUGCAUGAAUAAGCACCGGCUAACUCCGUGCCAGCAGCCGCGGUAAUACGGAGGGUGCAAGCGUUAUCCGGAUUUAUUGGGUUUAAAGGGUGCGUAGGCGGUGAAAUAAGUCAGUGGUGAAAAGCUGCAGCUCAACUGUAGUCCUGCCAUUGAAACUGUUUUACUUGAGUAACCAUGAAGUA